rnacentral:rRNA from 1 species
UACGAAGGGGGCUAGCGUUGCUCGGAAUCACUGGGCGUAAAGGGUGCGUAGGCGGGUCUUUAAGUCAGGGGUGAAAUCCUGGAGCUCAACUCCAGAACUGCCUUUGAUACUGAGGAUCUUGUGUACGGGAGAGGUGAGUGGAACUGCGAGUGUAGAGGUGAAAUUCGUAGAUAUUCGCAAGAACACCAGUGGCGAAGGCGGCUCACUGGCCCGUAACUGACGCUGAGGCACGAAAGCGUGGGGAGCAAACAGG